UGGGGAAUUUUGGACAAUGGGGGCAACCCUGAUCCAGCAAUGCCGCAUGAGUGAAGAAGGCCUUCGGGUUGUAAAGCUCUUUUGUCAGGGAAGAAACGGUAGUAGCGAAUAACUAUUACUAAUGACGGUACCUGAAGAAUAAGCACCGGCUAACUACGUGCCAGCAGCCGCGGUAAUACGUAGGGUGCAAGCGUUAAUCGGAAUUACUGGGCGUAAAGCGUGCGCAGGCGGUUGUGUAAGUCAGAUGUGAAAUCCCCGGGCUCAACCUGGGAAUUGCAUUUGAGACUGCACGGCUAGAGUGUGUCAGAGGGGGGUAGAAUUCCACGUGUAGCAGUGAAAUGCGUAGAUAUGUGGAGGAAUACCGAUGGCGAAGGCAGCCCCCUGGGAUAACACUGACGCUCAUGCACGAAAGCGUGGGGAGCAAACAGGAUUAGAUACCCUUGUAGUCCCUGAGCGGGCUGGCAAGGCGCAU
rnacentral:rRNA from 1 species